UCCUACGGGAGGCAGCAGUCGGCAAUCUUGCGCAAUGGGGGAAACCCUGAUGCAGCCCAAUGGAGGAAAUUAAGAAGGCGUUAGGGUUGUAAAGCGAAGACAAUUGGGAGGAAAAGAUAAUGGUUAAUAGGCGAUGAACAUGACGUUACCUGAAGAAGAAGCUCCGGCUAACUUCGUGCCAGCAGCCGCGGUAAU
rnacentral:rRNA from 1 species